GAAAUGCGAUAAGUAGUGUGAAUUGCAGAAUUCAGUGAAUCAUCGAAUCUUUGAACGCACAUUGCGCCCCUUGGUAUUCCAUGGGGCAUGCCUGUUCGAGCGUCAUCUACACCCUCAAGCUCUGCUUGGUGUUGGGCGUCUUUGUCCCGCCUCCGCGCGCGGACUCGCCCCAAAUUCAUUGUCAGCGGUCCUUGCCUCCUCUCGCGCAGCACAUUGCGCUUCUCGAGGUGUUGCGGCCCGCGUCCAGAAAGCAAUCGUUACCGUCUUUGACCUCGGAUCAGGUAGGGAUACCCGCUGAACUUAAGC
rnacentral:misc_RNA from 1 species